rnacentral:lncRNA from 1 species
CAGCACAGGGAAAUGUGUGUGAUUGGGUCACUUUGCUGUACAACAGAACUUGAAGAAACAUUGUAGAUCAACUAUACCUUAGUAAAAAAAAAAAAAAUGUCACCUGUGCAGUUAGGUGGCAGGUGUAUCUGUGGUAUGAGUAUGGGUAUGACUGACUGUAUACAAUAUCAUUAAUACAUUGAAACCAUGUAAGAAAUCCCACUUUGGGUGAUCAUUCCUGUGUGUAAACAUAUAAGAAGCCUUCUCAUUAUAAGUUGUCUGCCCAAGAAUUGAAUUAAUAAAUACACCAUUUAACCUAGAAUGAUGAAGUGAAAAAGCUUCAUGAUUCCCAGACUUCUUGUUAAUUUUAAAAUGAAGAAAACAUGAAUCUGCUCCAGGUAGAAAGCUAAUUAGCGGUGGUAGCAGAGUGGAUGAUUAGUAAUAUUUGAGAAGGUAAAUAUAGAAAAGAAAUAAGUAGUAGUGGUCUCAUAAUCUCCAACCCUAAAUUUUGUUUAUUUGUGCAACUACACCUGCAUGAAAUAUUAACACUCCCCAAGCUGAUGAACAGUCCUCAGCAAAUAUGGAACCCAUCUAAUUUGCACAGUUUCCUUGAUGUAAAUGUUCUAUUAAAAGGCCUCCUUAUGGAGCCUUAAUUAUAAUGAAAGUUCCAUUAAAAUGCUUGGCAAAUUAGCAGACUAUUGAAGUCAGUAGGGAGUCACCUGCAAAGUUCUCCUUAUUGUUUUUGGUUAGCUUCUAUGAAUACACAAGCUGGUGGGGGAGGGGGGGUAAGGCGUGCCUAGAACAAGAGAGAAAUUUAUAUGCCCAUUAUUACAGUAUCUAUAACUAUGUUAUUCAUAUAAUGUCUCUUAGAAAUUUACUUCUGAGGAAGCAAUGAUGAUGCACUCAGUCUUCAGGAUUUGGGCCCAAAAUGCAAAUCACCAAAAGAUCAAGACACCAAAGGCUCUGGUGAGAUUUCUGGCUAGAAACUCCAUUUUUCUAAUUGCUCUCACCUUCCAUAUUACUCACUUAUCUUCCUCAUCAAUGCUGGGACCAAUAUUCUUAAACUUCCUGGGAGAGGGGUGUGGAAUAAGACUUCCUUCUAGUCCUUCCUUGAAGUUUUGUCUAAGGGUUCUUUGGACAUCUGGAAGGCUGGGAUAUAUAUAUAUAUAGAGAGAGAGAUGGCUAGUGAGAAUCCCCAGAUUGGGAACAAGGCGACUUUGCACCAAAAAAAAAAGGGGGGGUGGGGGGAGAGAAGCUGAAUUGUUAAUCCUGAACACAUUAUGAUUUCCUGUAAUCAAAAAGAAAAGUAGGUCUGUUUCCUCUAAAGUAAUAUUCAAGUAAAAAGUUUAGAAAUAAAAAUACCUUCAGAAUACAUACACACAAGUGCUGAAGAGAUUUACUUUCUUACAACUUUGACUUGGUGCUUAAGUUCUGGGUCUAAAAUAUUAAAGGAAGUCAGUAGUACAAAACAUAGCAAAGAUUUAAUAAGAUAAAAGUCAGCGUAAAAGUCAAGCUCCUUUCUUAAACACCGAUAUUCUUGAUACUUUCAUCACUCAAGGAGAAUGAGUGAUUCCCAUGCAUUUCCAACAGUUAUAUGAAAGAACAUAUAAGCCUUUGAAGCUGCUAUUCUGCACAAAUAGCAUUUCCAAAAAUAAAACUGAGUGCUUCUUCCCUAAGUCACAGAAGUAUUAUCAUAAUAGAAAAAUAUGACCGGUUUUCUAUUAAAAAAAUAAGAAUUUAAUGUGUAAAUUACUGACUUUAUUUCAAUACCUCUGAUGAAAAGUUCUUCUAAGAUAUUUUAGACCCCCUAAUUAAUUUUAUCUAUAUCUAUAAAUAAUAGAUAUUAUAUAUCCAUAAUCAAUAAUUAAUUCUAUCUAAAAAUGAAAUGAUGUCAAGUGUAAAAUACAAAUAGAAAUUUCUUAGGAUGUUUCUUGUUAAUUCAUUUUAUAUGUACGUUUGGUCCAUUUUAUUUUAGUUUUGUAAGUUUACAAUCAUUUACAAAGAGAGAAAUCUUUCUCCAGAUAUCUACUUUUCUCCUGCAAUUCAUUAUUUCAUUCAUAAGUUGUAAUAGAGGCAUCCCAGUUCCAGGAAUCAAGGAGUUUACAAAUAAUAUGUGAAAAUUCAGAGGUGCAAUUAUCUUAGGAAAUAGAAACUGGGAUUCUUAGCACCCAUUCUUAAUAAUCUAUGGUAAAAGAUGCUUUCUGAUCUGUGGAAUUUCAAUGAUGGAAAAAAAAAUCAUCUUGCUACCUUUUAUGACACUAAACUGGCAAAGGAUAAAAUACUAUAUUAAAUCCAUUUUGUUUUGAAAACACUAUUCAUUUUCACAAAAGCGUGUGGCACAGGUGCAGAAAUCUAAAGUGAGAUAUCUAGGGAAAGAAAAUGUAAUGAAAAUAUCCUCUGCCAUAAACUG